rnacentral:rRNA from 1 species
GAUGAACGCUGGCGGCGUGCCUAAUACAUGCAAGUCGAGCGAACAGACGAGGAGCUUGCUCCUCUGACGUUAGCGGCGGACGGGUGAGUAACACGUGGAUAACCUACCUAUAAGACUGGGAUAACUUCGGGAAACCGGAGCUAAUACCGGAUAAUAUAUUGAAUCGCAUGGUUCAAUAGUGAAAGACGGUUUUGCUGUCACUUAUAGAUGGAUCCGCGCCGCAUUAGCUAGUUGGUAAGGUAACGGCUUACCAAGGCAACGAUGCGUAGCCGACCUGAGGGGGUGAUCGGCCACACUGGAACUGAGACACGGUCCAGACUCCUACGGGAGGCAGCAGUAGGGAAUCUUCCGCAAUGGGCGAAAGCCUGACGGAGCAACGCCGCGUGAGUGAUGAAGGUCUUCGGAUCGUAAAACUCUGUUAUUAGGGAAGAACAAAUGUGUAAGUAACUAUGCACGUCUUGACGGUACCUAAUCAGAAAGCCACGGCUAACUACGUG